rnacentral:rRNA from 1 species
UGGACAAAGACUGACGCUCAGGUGCGAAAGCGUGGGGAGCAAACAGGAUUAGAUACCCUGGUAGUCCACGCCGUAAACGAUGUCUACUUGGAGGUUGUGCCCUUGAGGCGUGGCUUCCGGAGCUAACGCGUUAAGUAGACCGCCUGGGGAGUACGGCCGCAAGGUUAAAACUCAAAUGAAUUGACGGGGGCCCGCACAAGCGGUGGAGCAUGUGGUUUAAUUCGAUGCAACGCGAAGAACCUUACCUGGUCUUGACAUCCACAGAACUUUCCAGAGAUGGAUUGGUGCCUUCGGGAACUGUGAGACAGGUGCUGCAUGGCUGUCGUCAGCUCGUGUUGUGAAAUGUUGGGUUAAGUCCCGCAACGAGCGCAAC